rnacentral:rRNA from 1 species
AUGUUUGACGGAGUUGAGCGGAUGCUUCGGGGAGUCGGGCAUGUGCCAGGGUUUAGGAGGAAUCUAAUUUCGCUUGGUGUUCUUCAUGAUGGUGGUAUGGAAUUUCGUUGUGAUCGGGAUAAGAAGACCAUGGAAAUCAUGGAAGAUAAGGUGACUAUGAUGAUAGGAGAGAGGACGACCUUUUCACAUCUUUACAAGUUGCAAGGGAGCACUAUUGCAGGUGGAGCCAUGGAGAGUGAAGCUGCAGGAAUAGCAAUGGAGUCCCACGGUGGCGGCGAGUCUGGCCCGUCGGGUAGCUCUCAGUAA